GAUGAACGCUGGCGGCGUGCCUAAUACAUGCAAGUCGAGCGAACAGACGAGGAGCUUGCUCCUCUGACGUUAGCGGCGGACGGGUGGGUAACACGUGGAUAACCUACCUAUAAGACUGGGAUAACUUCGGGAAACCGGAGCUAAUACCGGAUAACAUGUUGAACCGCAUGGUUCAACAGUGAAAGACGGUUUUGCUGUCACUUAUAGAUGGAUCCGCGUCGCAUUAGCUAGUUGGUAAGGUAACGGCUUACCAAGGCAACGAUGCGUAGCCGACCUGAGAGGGUGAUCGGCCACACUGGAACUGAGACACGGUCCAGACUCCUACGGGAGGCAGCAGUAGGGAAUCUUCCGCAAUGGGCGAAAGCCUGACGGAGCAACGCCGCGUGAGUGAAGAAGGUCUUCGGAUCGUAAAACUCUGUUAUUAGGGAAGAACAAAUGUGUAAGUAACUAUGCACGUCUUGACGGUACCUAAUCAGAAAGCCACGGCUAACUACGUG
rnacentral:rRNA from 1 species